rnacentral:rRNA from 1 species
GGGGAAUUUUCCGCAAUGGGCGAAAGCCUGACGGAGCAACGCCGCGUGAGGGAAGAAGGCCUCUGGGCUGUAAACCUCUUUUCUCAAGGAAGAAGAUCUGACGGUACUUGAGGAAUAAGCCACGGCUAAUUCCGUGCCAGCAGCCGCGGUAAUACGGGAGUGGCAAGCGUUAUCCGGAAUUAUUGGGCGUAAAGCGUCCGCAGGCGGCCUUUCAAGUCUGCUGUUAAAGCGUGGAGCUUAACUCCAUUAAGGCAGUGGAAACUGUUGGGCUUGAGUGUGGUAGGGGCAGAGGGAAUUCCCGGUGUAGCGGUGAAAUGCGUAGAUAUUGGGAAGAACACCAGUGGCGAAGGCGCUCUGCUGGGCCGUAACUGACACUCAUGGACGAAAGCUAGGGGAGCGAAAGGGAUUAGAUACCCCUGUAGUC